AACCCGGUGGCACAAGGUGUGUGCCUGCCUUUGUUUGUUGUUGAGGGAAAACAAAUUAUUCGCAGGAGGACUCUGUUCGAUUCGGAGUCGGGUAA